UAGGGAAUCUUCCACAAUGGACGAAAGUCUGAUGGAGCAACGCCGCGUGAGUGAAGAAGGGUUUCGGCUCGUAAAGCUCUGUUGUUAAAGAAGAACGUGGGUAAGAGUAACUGUUUACCCAGUGACGGUAUUUAACCAGAAAGUCACGGCUAACUACGUGCCAG
rnacentral:rRNA from 1 species